UUCCCUAAAACUCAAGAUGGCGGGGCGCGCAGGGUGCUUGCCAGGAACAACGAGGAGCCUGGGAAAGAGCCUGAAGAAGGGGUCCCUGGGCUCAGAGGGGAGAAGGGAGGGCACUCGUGCAGGGGGAGGCAGCGGCCCCGCCCUGCCCUCAGGGAGGGGCGAGGGGAAGGUGCGCCCCGGGGGCCCAGCCGGCAGAGGUCUGAGUGGUGUCUCCUCACCCUCUUGGACCGCACGGUGAAGCUGCUGCUGGUGGCUCCGGGCGCUCUCCCAGCCUCGCGCGCGCUGAGCCAUUCUGUUCCGCUGACGCGGUUCUCUCCAGCUCAGCCACCUCACCCAGGUUCCCAUCGUCACGUGUUCCUUGUCCUGAGCCUCGCGGACGCGACUCCCCAGAACAGCUCUCGAUUUCUGCAGGAACCGGGCACGGCGUUGCCCGAAGUGCUCCUGGUCCACUCUGCAGUGCGGGGCGUCAGAGGCCAGCCUCACAGGUCGCCCACCCAGCCUGUCCCCGCUGGGGUCGCGUCCCCAUCAUGGGCGUGCAGCCGGGGUGCCCACGGCCGGGCCCCUCCUCCACAGCUGGCUCUGCCCAGCCUUCAUUCUGCACCUGGGUCCCCGUGCAGCCCUGGGCCCAGGUGUCACAGUCUCAACAGAGACCCACAGGAACGGCGCCCCCACGGGGACCAGCCCCAUUCGUUCCUGGUUGAGCAGAUCCGCGUCCUGGGCCGGCCUGGGGUGACGCUCUCGCCGUGUUCCCCGGCUGGCCAGUCUGCCAGUGAGAGGCAGGCGAGUCAGGGGGCCCUGACCCUAGCUGCGUCUGGUGACUGGCGUGUCCACGGGAGGGGGUGGGACGAUGCUCUCGGGGGCAGGGUCUUGGGAAGUAGCGGCCGGGGGCGGGGAGAGAUGGGCCUGGGUUCCCCCCUCACCCCCUUCUGUGCCCUGCAGUUUGGGGAGAACUCAGAUCCAGGCUCACCCCACGGGCUCCGGACUCACAGCAAAGUCAGUCCCGGAGCCUGCUGGGUUCGGAGCUCCUGUGAGCUGCCCUUGACCAGAGCAGGGAUUUUUCUCCGCAAAUCCCUGCAGCUGGGGGCUGUGCCCCUUCCCGGCGCGGGGCGCACCGCAGGCACGCCCUUGGCGGGAGGUGAGGCCCCAGCUAGGUGGCCUCCAGGUCUGUUUCCUGGUGCAGAACUGCAAGGCUUAGGUUAG
rnacentral:lncRNA from 1 species